UACGUAGGGGGCAAGCGUUAUCCGGAUUUACUGGGUGUAAAGGGAGCGUAGACGGUGAUGCAAGUCAGAAGUGAAAGCCCGGGGCUCAACUCCGGGACUGCUUUUGAAACUGCUUCCCUUGAGUAUCGGAGAGGUAAUCGGAAUUCCUAGUGUAGCGGUGAAAUGCGUAGAUAUUAGGAAGAACACCAGUGGCGAAGGCGGAUUACUGGACGACAACUGACGGUGAGGCGCGAAAGCGUGGGGAGCAAAAAGG
rnacentral:rRNA from 1 species